GCUGGUGUGGCUCAAUGGAUAGAGCGUCAGCCUGCGGACUGAAGGGUCCUGGGUUCAAUUCCUAUCAAGGGCA
rnacentral:tRNA from 1 species